rnacentral:rRNA from 1 species
GGGCCUACGGGGGGCGGCGGUGGGGAAUUUUGGACAAUGGGGGCAAGCCUGAUCCAGCCAUGCCGCGUGAGGGAAGAAGGCCUUUGGGUUGUAAACUGCUUUUGGACGGAAAGAAAAGGUCUUGUUUAAUACUGCGGGCUCAUGACGAUACAGAAAGAAUAAGCACCGGCUAACUACGUGCCAGCAUACGCGGUAAU